rnacentral:rRNA from 1 species
AGUGAACGCUGGCGGUAGGCCUAACACAUGCAAGUCGAACGGCAGCACAGUAAGAGCUUGCUCUUACGGGUGGCGAGUGGCGGACGGGUGAGGAAUACAUCGGAAUCUACUUUUUCGUGGGGGAUAACGUAGGGAAACUUACGCUAAUACCGCAUACGACCUACGGGUGAAAGCAGGGGAUCUUCGGACCUUGCGCGAUUGAAUGAGCCGAUGUCGGAUUAGCUAGUUGGAGGGGUAAAGGCCCACCAAGGCGACGAUCCGUAGCUGGUCUGAGAGGAUGAUCAGCCACACUGGAACUGAGACACGGUCCAGACUCCUACGGGAGGCAGCAGUGGGGAUUAUUGGACAAUGGGCGCAAGCCUGAUCCAGCCAUACCGCGUGGGUGAAGAAGGCCUUCGGGUUGUAAAGCCCUUUUGUUGGGAAAGAAAAGCAGCAGGUUAAUACCCCGCUGUUCUGACGGUACCCAAAGAAUAAGCACCGGCUAACUUCGUG